rnacentral:misc_RNA from 1 species
UUUCCGUAGGUGAACCUGCGGAAGGAUCAUUACUGAGUGAGGGCCCUCUGGGUCCAACCUCCCACCCGUGUUUAUUGUACCUUGUUGCUUCGGUGAGCCCGCCUCACGGCCGCCGGGGCGCAUCUGCCCCCGGGCCCGCGCUCGCCGAAGAAACCCUUGAACUCUGUCUGAAGUUUGCAGUCUGAGCGAAAACUAAAUAAGUUAAAACUUUCAACAACGGAUCUCUUGGUUCCG